GAGUUUGAUCCCGGGUUCAGGGCAAACCGCUGGCGGCGUGCAUAACACAUGCAAGUUGAACGAGAAGGAUAAACAUUGAAGCUUCGGCUGAUUUGUUCUUCCUGAAAGUAGCGGAUGGGUGAGUAACACGUGAGGAACCUGCCCUUCACAAAGGGAUAGCAGCUGGAAACGGCUAUUAAUACCUUAUGAUACCGAUGUAUCGCAUGAUACGACGGUUAAAGAUUUAUCGGUGAAAGAUGGCCUUGCGCCUGAUUAGCUAGUUGGUGAGGUAAUGGCUCACCAAGGCGACGAUCAGUAGCCGGCUUGAGAGAGUGAACGGCCACACUGGGACUGAGACACGGCCCAGACUCCUACGGGAGGCAGCAGUGGGGAAUUUUGCACAAUGGAGGAAACUCUGAUGCAGCGACGCCGCGUGAGCGAAGAAGGCCUUCGGGUUGUAAACCUCUAUCCUUGGUGAAGAUAAUGACGGUAGCCAAGAAGGAAGCCCCGGCUAACUACGUGCCAGCAGCCGCGGUAAUACGUAGGGGGCAAGCGUUGUCCGGAAUGAUUGGGCGUAAAGGGCUCGUAGGCGGCUAAUCAAGUCUGGAGUGAAAGUCCUGCUUUUAAGGUGGGAAUUGCUUUGGAAACUGAAUAGCUUGAGUGUAGGAGAGGUUAGUGGAAUUCCCAGUGUAGCGGUGAAAUGCGUAGAGAUUGGGAGGAACACCAGUGGCGAAGGCGACUAACUGGACUAUAACUGACGCUGAGGAGCGAAAGUGUGGGUAGCAAACAGGAUUAGAUACCCUGGUAGUCCACACUGUAAACGAUGAAUGCUAGGUGUAGGUGGUAUCGACCCCCAUCUGUGCCGCAGUAAACACAAUAAGCAUUCCG
rnacentral:rRNA from 1 species